rnacentral:rRNA from 1 species
GCCGUAGGUGAACCUGCGGAGGGAUCAUUAAUUGAAUAU